rnacentral:rRNA from 1 species
UACGUAGGUGGCAAGCGUUGUUCGGAUUCAUUGGGCGUAAAGGGCGCGUAGGCGGCCUCUGCAAGUCGACUGUGAAAUCUCCGGGCUUAACCCGGAAAGGUCAGCCGAUACUGCAGGGCUAGAGUGCAGAAGGGGCAACUGGAAUUCUCGGUGUAGCGGUGAAAAUGCGUAGAUAUCGAGAGGAACACCUGCGGCGAAGGCGGGUUGCUGGGCUGACACUGACGCUGAAGUGCGAAAGCUAGGGGAGCGAACGGG